AGCAGCCGCGGUAAUUCCAGCUCCAAUAGCGUAUAUUAAAGUUGCUGCAGUUAAAAAGCUCGUAGUUGAAUUUCGGGACCAUCAUGUCGGUCGUGCCUCGGUACGUACUGGCAUUGUUGGUUUCUACCUUCUGACGAACCAUGAUGUCAUUUAUUUGGUGUCGUGGGAAAUCAGGACUGUUACUUUGAAAAAAUUAGAGUGUUUAAAGCAGGCUCACGCUUGAAUACAUUAGCAUGGAAUAAUGAAAUAGGACGUUUGAUUCUAUUUUGUUGGUUUCUAGGAUCGACGUAAUGAUUAAUAGGGAUAGUUGGGGGCAUUAGUAUUCAAUUGUCAGAGGUGAAAUUCUUGGAUUUAUUGAAGACUAACUACUGCGAAAGCAUUUGCCAAGGAUGUUUUCAUUAAUCAAGAACGAAAGUUAGGGGAUCGAAGACGAUCAGAUACCGUCGUAGUCUUAACCAUAAACUAUGCCGACUAGGGAUCGGAUGAUGUAAUUUUUAAUGA
rnacentral:rRNA from 1 species